GAUGAACGCUGGCGGCGUGCCUAAUACAUGCAAGUCGAGCGAAUGGAUUAAGAGCUUGCUCUUAUGAAGUUAGCGGCAGACGGGUGAGUAACACGUGGGUAACCUGCCCAUAAGACUGGGAUAACUCCGGGAAACCGGGGCUAAUACCGGAUAACAUUUUGAACCGCAUGGUUCGAAAUUGAAAGGCGGCUUCGGCUGUCACUUAUGGAUGGACCCGCGUCGCAUUAGCUAGUUGGUGAGGUAACGGCUCACCAAGGCAACGAUGCGUAGCCGACCUGAGAGGGUGAUCGGCCACACGGGGACUGAGACACGGCCCAGACUCCUACGGGAGGCAGCAGUAGGGAAUCUUCCGCAAUGGACGAAAGUCUGACGGAGCAACGCCGCGUGAGUGAUGAAGGCUUUCGGGUCGUAAAACUCUGUUGUUAGGGAAGAACAAGUGCUAGUUGAAUAAGCUGGCACCUUGACGGUACCUAACCAGAAAGCCACGGCUAACUACGUGCCAGCCGCCGCGGUAA
rnacentral:rRNA from 1 species